GGAAAGCAGUUAAUAGGGGAUCGGGGCGUUAAUUCUUAAGACAACCGGCCAGAUCGUCACACAUUGACUCACACUAACGCGGAUAUUAUGAGUUAAUAAUUUGGUAGAUGGAUAAUAGUUGACACUUUUCUUGCCUAUUCUGAGUAGCCUUACCAAUUUUCAGGCGUAUUAUUGACUUUGGUAGCGCUGUGGAUGAUUUCACAUUGAAGCACUUGUAUGGGUCUAUUGGGCCUUCAAGAGCUGAACAAACUUAUGAAUAUACUCCACCUGAAGCUCUUUUGAAUGCCAGUUGGUAUCAAGGGCUGACUCUCACUACUAUGAAGUAUGACAUGUGGAGUGUUGGUGUAGUGAUCUUAGAACUGGUUUUGGGUACUCCAGACGUGUUUCAGGUGAGUUCUAGGACGCGUGCUCUUUUAGAUCAGCACCUAGAGGGUUGGAGCGAAAGCUUGAAGGAGCUAGCUUACAAGUAAGUCCAGUUUAGAAAUGAUUAUGCCAGCUCGAUAGAGUACUUUUUCGACUUCUUGGAAAAAAAUUAACGUGGUUAACCAUAUAUGUUGCAUUUUAUUUUGAUUAUUUUUCCACGUGGAAGGUGAUUGGUAUCUUGUUUUACAAUACGGUAGUAUAUAUAAGUAUUACAUCGUCUUCAGUUAAUCGUCCACAAAAAGAUGUAGUCGAUCUGCCUUAAGUACCACUGAAGACAAGGUGUCUGAUUUCUGCACAACUGAAAUCAGAACCUUGAGGAUUAAAAGUUGAUGAAACUAUGUCUUAACCAUGACUUAUAUUUCUUCAGCAAUCUGUGUUUAAGGUGAUGGGAAUAUGGAGAAAGAAUAGAGUUGUACUGUGAGAGAAUUUUAAGAGAAUAGAAGAUGUAUUAAAUACCUGAUGAUUUGAUGAAUAUAAGACACCUAUUUAUAGGUGUUAAAUACAAUACAUGUUAUAUUUUUCAAUCUGGGACGUCUAACACAAUUACAUUACUCUUCUAAUACUCUACUCUGACAUUAUAUCGCUAACAGUUAACAUUCUAACACGAAUCUGAAGUUACUCUUCUUUGUAGUUGACUUGCAAUGUGUACCUUAAUCAUAAGUUAAGCCACAGCCGGGAAUUUUGAUUGAAAUAUGUGGUGUCACUUUGGUAGCUAAUAACAACUGAUUUAGAUUUCAAAUUUCAUUUGAAAUGACUACGAUUCAUUAGAAAAUAAAAAGGAAGUUAAAUUCCUGUGUUGACAUACAAGUUGUCUAGCACAUGUAUACACAUGUACUACAUCAUAGCUAGCACAUGUAUAUGAGUUGUAUAGUAGGUGUAAUACAAGUUGUGUAGCACAUGUAUACACAUGUACUACAUCAUAGCUAGCACAUGUAUAUGAGUUGUAUAGUAGGUGUAAUUAGGUGUAUGACAACUAAUAGAUUAGGUGAAUUAGUAUUAUAAAUAGGCCUUGUAAUCUUCUCUUCUAGAUAUGAAAUAUAGAACUUCUUUGGUUUCUAACAUGGUGUCAGAGCAUUGAAGUUUUUUUCAUCAGUUUGUUGUUGAGAAUUUUUUUUUUCCCCGUUCGAAUUAUUUUUGUUCAGAACAGUCUUUCGCUGCUUUGAUUUUAUUUCACUAUUUCUGGCCAUUUUUUGCUCCGGCCGCUUCUUUACAGAUUUUUCUACUCACUAUUCCGACCAAAGUGGUACUGUCAGAAUUUUUUUUUCCUGACAACUUUCAUUUUCCAAGAUCAAUGUUCCGGCACUGUUCACUGCACUGUUCACUGUUCAAAUAUUACUAUUCACUGUUCACUGUA